rnacentral:rRNA from 1 species
UACGUAGGGCGCAAGCGUUAUCCGGAAUUAUUGGGCGUAAAGAGCUCGUAGGCGGUUUGUCGCGUCUGCCGUGAAAGUCCGGGGCUCAACUCCGGAUCUGCGGUGGGUACGGGCAGACUAGAGUGAUGUAGGGGAGACUGGAAUUCCUGGUGUAGCGGUGAAAUGCGCAGAUAUCAGGAGGAACACCGAUGGCGAAGGCAGGUCUCUGGGCAUUAACUGACGCUGAGGAGCGAAAGCAUGGGGAGCGAACAUG